ensembl:lncRNA
AUGUGGAGGGAGGCGGGAGCCAACAACAGCUCUGUUCACAAAGACCCACAGGACCACAAUCUCACACAGAUAGUUUCCCCAGUGUCUUCGUGGCUCCGCUCCAACUCCGAUAGAAAUGGCUCAGCAGCUAGCAGUCCACCCCCUCUUGCUGAGACCCCCGUGAACAGAGAGAGUGGAAUCAUACCAGGUGCGAUUGCCGCAGCAGUGUUCAUAGGCUUUCUGUUAGCCCUCUAUACUGUUCUUUGGAAAUGCAUGGUAACGCAACCAAAAAGGAGGAAAAAGAGAGUGAGUUUGAAGGCUCGUGAACAGAGGUCUCUUACAUGCUGA